rnacentral:lncRNA from 1 species
GAUCUGAAAUAAACCAUUUUUUUCUACCAGGCGAAUAUCUUGAUGAUUCCCAAGAAUGCCAGUUGUGUGAAGUAUCCUGUCAGAAAUGCAUUGGACCUGAGUCAGACAACUGCCUCAGCUGCCCACUCACAAGAGUCUUUGAUGACGGCCGCUGUGUUAUGCAAUGCCCCAGAGGAAAGUUUGAAUUCCAGCAGCACUGUCACUUGUGCCAUCACACCUGCCUGGACUGCAGUGGAAGUGAACCUAACAAAUGCACCGCUUGUGGAACAGACAGAAGAGGAGUGGGACGUUUCCUGUAUCAUGGGGAGUGCAGAGACAGCUGCCCUCCAGGUCACUACCACUCAGAGCAUACCUGUGUGCCUUGCCCUGGCCACUGUGAGGUGUGUCUGAACUCCAGCCACUGCAAAAGAUGUUUCAGAGGCUAC